AACCUUUCAAGGUCGCACCUGGAGAGUUUCCAGUCCUCUACCAGCUUUGGCUACAGGAGGGACAGUCAAGCAGUGGCCUACCCAUUCCAUUCCUAGCUUGGCCAAUGGCUAGUGAGUGGAAGGCAAUCUGCUACAAGU